AACAACUAAUUAGAUAUAUUAACAAUACAUCUAAUUGGCAACUAUGAUAAUCUUGAAAAUUGCAGCUGACUAAUAAUAAUACACCAACAAGACACCUCUACUUUAAUAAUUCUAACAAAGCUGAUACAAAUGCCAAAACUGAUUUGUGGUGUACUUAUAACAGAAAAAUUCAACAAAAAUGCAAAAAAGGACUUUCAAAGUAGUAAAUUCAGUUUUUCAAC
rnacentral:lncRNA from 1 species